UACGGAGGGUGCGAGCGUUAUCCGGAUUCACUGGGGUUAAAGGGUGCGUAGGUGGGCAGGGAAGUCAGUGGUGAAAUCUCCGGGCUUAACCCGGAAACUGCCAUUGAUACUAUCAGUCUUGAAUACCGUGGAGGUAAGCGGAAUAUGUCAUGUAGCGGUGAAAUGCUUAGAUAUGACAUAGAACACCAAUUGCGAAGGCAGCUUACUACCCGAAUAUUGACACUGAGGCACGAAAGCGUGGGGAUCAAACAGG
rnacentral:rRNA from 1 species